UAACAGGCCUGGUUCUAAUUAUAACAAUUAUACCGUGAAACUGCGAAUGGCUCAUUAAAUCAGUUAUCGUUUAUUUGAUAAUACCUUACUACUUGGAUAACCGUGGUAAUUCUAGAGCUAAUACAUGCUGAAAAUCCCGACUUCGGAAGGGAUGUGUUUAUUAGAUAAAAAACCAAUGCCCUUCGGGGCUUUUUGGUGAUUCAUGAUAACUUUACGGAUCGCAUAGCCUUGCGCUGGCGACGGUUCAUUCAAAUUUCUGCCCUAUCAACUUUCGAUGGUAAGGUAUUGGCUUACCAUGGUUUCAACGGGUAACGGGGAAUUAGGGUUCGAUUCCGGAGAGGGAGCCUGAGAAACGGCUACCACAUCCAAGGAAGGCAGCAGGCGCGCAAAUUACCCAAUCCCGACACGGGGAGGUAGUGACAAUAAAUACUGAUACAGGGCUCUUUUGGGUCUUGUAAUUGGAAUGAGUACAAUUUAAACCUCUUAACGAGGAACAAUUGGAGGGCAAGUCUGGUGCCAGCAGCCGCGGUAAUUCCAGCUCCAAUAGCGUAUAUUAAAGUUGUUGCAGUUAAAAAGCUCGUAGUUGAAACUUGGGCCUGGCUGGCGGGUCCGCCUCACCGCGUGCACUCGUCCGGCCGGGCCUUCCUUCUGAAGAACCUCAUGCCCUUCACUGGGCGUGCUGGGGAAUCAGGACUUUUACUUUGAAAAAAUUAGAGUGUUCAAAGCAGGCCUUUGCUCGUAUACGUUAGCAUGGAAUAAUAAAAUAGGGCGUGCGUUUCUAUUUUGUUGGUUUCUAGAGACGCCGCAAUGAUUAACAGGAACAGUCGGGGGCAUCAGUAUUCAGUUGUCA
rnacentral:rRNA from 1 species